UAACAUUAAACUGGUCUAUUCUGUGUGAAUUGUUCACACGUGCGAAACCUCGGAACGUCCGUGUAGAGGAAUACGAGGCACAACGACGUUACACAAAUUCUAUUUUUAAAGUCAUUAUUGGAAUCUCAUCCAUCUAUUGCUUUCUGGAGUCACAGACGUUCAUGUAUCUUUAGUGCCUAUAUACAGAUAUUUGUAGCAGACGGGGUCCACCUUACCCUAUUUUGUCACGUUGCUUUUACAGGUCAUUGUGGCAUGCGGUUAUGAGAGCUGUGGAGAAUUAUACAUAGAGUUUUCUAGGGGAGUAUAUUUUAUGAUAUCUUUAGAUCACUGCUUCCAUAUGUAAUGAAAUCGAAACCAAGGCGGAUCUCAAAUGUCAAGUAUAUUACUUAUUUAAAAUUACAAGCAGUAUAAGAUGCCAAGAUCGAAAACAUGUACAUUAAAUAAUCAAUGAAUCGGACGAUUUCAUUGUAACUCAAAUUGAUUUCGAACCAGGUGUACAUUUACUGCCGUUUUUGUUUGAUAUGUCACUACAGAUUAUAAUACAAAAUUCUUAUAUAUAUCCUAACAUAUAAGUUGUCAAUAACAUAACAAUUGCUACAAUUUGUAUAGCGGCCGAGGUACAAUACAGAAGGACAAUGUCCAUGUAUUUUAAUAUUAUAGUAUACAUCAGUGUCUGUGACUGUGAGCCAUUAAAUGGGGCUAUGUGUAUUGUUUUCAUGUAGGUUGUAUGGUUUUGUUAUUUCAUCUAUCUUUGAUAUACCUCCGCUUUUUGAGAGCCAGUAGGCUUUAUAGAGGUCACGUUUGUUAUGUGAAUGUGGUUGGGCUCUUACAUUUGUACAAACCCCCACGUCUGCGAGUCAUUAGGCUUUAACACGGUCACAUUUUUGUGAAUUGUGGUGGGUUUUUGUGUUUAUUACCACUGUCUGCGAGCCUUUUGGCUUUAGCGCGGUCACAUUAUUUGUGUGAAUUGUGGUUGUUUGUAUUUGUCAUAUAUCCCACUGUCUGCGAGCCUGUAUGCUUUAACGCAGUCACAUUUGAUUGAUUGUGCGUGUCAAAUUUAAUUGUAUGUGAAUUGUGAGAGUGUUUAUUUAACUUAUUUGUGUGUAGUAUAUCCCACUGUUUGCGUGCCUGUGGGCUUUAGCGCGGUCACAUUUGAUUGAAGGUGCUUGUCACGUUUAAUUGAAUGUGAAUUGUGGAUGUGUUUAUUUAACUUAUUUGUUUGUAGUAUAUCCCACUGUCUGCGAGUCUGUAGGCUUUAGCGCGGUCACAUUUGAUUGAAGGUGCUUGUCACAUUUACUUUAAUGUGAUUUGUGGAUGGAUUUAUUUAUCUAAUUGGUGUGUAGUAUAUCCCUCUGUCUGCGAGCCUGUAGACUUUAUGUGGUCACAUUUGGUUGAUUGUGCGUGUUGCAUUUGAUUGAACGCCAAUAUGUUUGGUUAUUUUGGUGUUUUGUUGGGCGCAGUGUGUCGCAGUGUAGCAGUUACUUCCCUUACUCCGAAUAAGGCUACUGUGGUUUAAAAUAAACGUUUGCACUAUGAUUAUUUGUCUCAACCCUUAAGUUAUUAUUUACUACUGGUGGAAGGUGAAUUGUGAAUGAUUUAUUUACUUAAUGUAUGUGUACCGUAAUUUAUUUGUAUGCACAUAAAUCACAUGUUAUGAUACUAUAGUGGCUUCACUUUGCUAUAUAAAUCUUAAAGUCAUUACUAUGUAAUAUAUAGAGUGCGUUUCAGGGAUAAAACAUUUUGCUUUCAACUAAUUUCAGCUCCAAAAUGCCACCGAAGAAAAGGAAGAACAGCGGUGGUCCACCGACACUGUCAAAGAAGGCGAAAACAGCCUCACAUACGGCCACAAACAGUAUCAACACAAAUGACCCUGCAAUUUUGGCACUAACUGACAAUACCAGAAAUGGGGCAGCGAGAAGACCAGUCGCUGACGCUGACACGCCCGGAAUGUACGAGAACCAAUCCCAGGCUGUUAACGAGGCCAAUUCCCAGAUAACGAGACAAAUUGGGAACCAAUCCAUGCCUGAUAUUAUGGUGGACGAACCAGUUAUCGAACACCUAAGAAAUUACGUUAAAUGACCUUAAAAUUGAAACACUUAAAAUGACAAAAACAUUUUGUUUUAACAAAUGACUAAUAGUUCAAUCAUUGAAUGAUUUAUCUGUAAAGUUUUCCAGCAAACUACCUUCAAGAAUUCAUAACAAUGAUUCCCUGAUUAUUGUCAUCUCUAGCAGACAAAACAAAAUGGCGGCCGAUGUACACAUGACCUAUUACCCGACACAUCAUAAAUACGACUCCAGUAUAUACAAAGUCACAUGACUAUCACCUGACCCGGACUCGGCGAAAAAAUGUGCGUCUGCUGCAAUGCAAUCAAAAUUGCAAACGGAAAUAUGCUUUUUGCGGCAACCCAAUUGUACUGGAGUUCCACUGGCAAUCUGCACGUGCACGCUGUCCAAGGUUCCCACCAUGUACCGAUACUGAUGAGCUGUUACCAUAGCCGAAUCGGGGGUUUACCAACCUUCCUGGGCAAUUUCUGUGACCGUGCCCAGACGAGCGCCUUGUUCCUGCCUCGUCCUACAACAAGCGAGCCAUUACCAUUUACCUGCCUCGUCCUGCUACAAGCAAGCCGUUACAUUUACCUGAUUUGGUGUUGUGAGCCUAUGUGGAAUCUAUAACAAACAUUCGGGAACACUCUGGACUGUGUGGCCUUUAAAAUUCUAUUAAAGCAGAAAAAUGUUCAGUUCUGUGUGUUACGGAGUAUAGCACAGAACGUAUGUCUAAACAUAAUGCACUGCACAAUUGUAUAUAUGCGGUUCGUUCAUGCGUUGUGAUUUUCAUGUGAGUGAGGGUCACUCAGGCGGGCAUAGGCGAGAAUGUGCACGGGGUUUUCAUUGUUUGGUCCGUUCUACGCAAGACCAGUUAUGUUUCAGUUACACAAUGUCCACAGUUACAUGUUAAUAUGUGUUGUUUUCGGGUACAGUUUUCCAGCGUUAUUUUACGGCAUCGGAUGUUUUCUGGUGAAGUUUUAUCUCUGGUUUUUACCCUGGCCUUGAAAACAACAUUUAAGGAUACAGAAUAGAAGUUAUGUAUACCAAUCAUAGUUGUACUGUGAUAUAAAAUAAAUAGAUAAAACUUGUACUGUCAUGUUAAUCUAUGAUUUUACUUGACGGUUAUAUAUUACGAAAUGUAAUAUUCAUUUAUGUAUGUUUUCAAUAGACUGAUUGCAAGUCUUGCCCAAUGCAAAACCAGUUCUGUUUUGAGCCUAGUUGUGUGAAGACCAUUCACUUAUAUUUAAUCUGCUCCUCUUUGUACGCUGUUCAUGUUGAUUUCAUCAUUGUUUGUUAAGUAUUGUGCUGCACAUGUUAUUCUUUUACUCAUGUUUUAAUUCCUUUUGGUAAGUCUUUAUGCGUACUUAAACUUUAAAGGUUGUGUUCAACCUUGUUUGUUGUUGCGCUGCAAAAAUUGUUUUAUAACCCUGCUUUGAAUUCUUUUUGCGUAUUCUUCAUGCAGAAAUUGUUGUUUUAUUGCGUAUUAAGGUCGCAACAUCAAACUUUUCUUGCGUGGCGGAAAAAUUCAAGUAGCUGACAGUCUCCUUUGGUAGGCACAUUUUUUGGUAUUUCAAAUAUUAUAAUAAUUCUGAGGGUGCUAUUUUUGUGCGGCCAGUUGUCUGAGUAUCAAUCCAUACUUGGGUGGUUACUUUCUGUUUAUUACAAAAAUUUAGUCUUGACUUUCUUAGGCUUAACAUUAGAUUCAAUUAAAAGUGGAGGCACUUUUAUCUAAAGACAAACUUGCAAAAGUAGUACGGCUUUUGUAUGACUUGAGAUCAAGGGAUACCUGUACUCCGUGAACUCUUAUCUGUCAUAGGGCUACUAAAUUUUGCCUGUUCAGUCGUCAGACCGGGGAGAGCUUUCUUGCGACGCCUGAUAGAUUUGUCUAUAGGCGUAAAAAAGUUACAUUACAAGGUCAAGUUAAGGUCUCCUGCAAACAUGACAUGAUGGUAUGAUUAACGUUCCUCACCCAUCUCAAUGGAACCAAUUUUUUCAUCAAUGCAACUAGACUUUCCAGCGAUAGUCUUGGCUUGUAUACAGACGCAUCUGGAUCAAAAGGGUUCGGAGCAAUUUCCAAGAACAGUUGGUUGUAUGGGCCUUUUCCAGAGAGCUGUCAGAAAGCAAACAUUACCUUCCUUGAAUUACAUCCUAUUGUCAUUGCGGUAAAUACAUGGGGGUCCCUAAUGAGUUCAUAUUUAUUCCAUUUCAACCAUCUCUUUGCCCCUUUCAGUCACGUCUCUAGCCCUAUUUGUGGCUUUCCUUCACCAAAAAGCGAUGUCCGUGAAAUCCAUUACCACUUACCUUUCAGGCAUAAGCUAUGCACAAAAGUUACAUAACGUGACAGACCCAACUUGUCAUUUCCUGAUAUCGUCCUUACUUUAAGGUGCGCAACAUUUGUCACCAUCUUACGACUUGCGCUUACCCAUCACUAUUGGUCUUCUAAUUAAAUUAUUAUAAGCUCUAAGGCAUACUUGCGCAUCUCACUACCAUGCAAAACUAUUUGCUGCCAUGUUUCUAUUUGCAUUUCAUGUUUUGGCUCGUUGUAGCGAAAUUAAAAGCUGCAAUCAAUCUACAAAGUCUUUAAUUUUACAGUUAACAGUCAUUCAAUUUGAUUCAAUUACAACACCAUCUUCAUUUCGGUUACUUACCACAGAUUUAAACAUCAUAAUGGCUAAGCACACACAAUCACCUUUUCCCAUGCCCAUACUAAACACUCUGCAUUUCAUGUCCUGUAGGACUACAUAUCAGUUCGUGGUCAAUAUCCGGGGCCUAUUUUUACUUUAACUUCUGGUAUACCUGUCCCUAGUCGGAUUUUUGAGAAUUACUCAGAUGCUCAGAUAAGACACUCACUUAUUGAAUUGGAAACAUUAUCGUUGCCUGCUUGGGCUGUCAACGACAACAAUUUUUCAACUGCUAUUUUUCUUCAUGUACGAUAUGUUAUAGACUACCUCAUAAUUACAAUAUAUUCGGUACCUGCCUGGGCUGGCUAUCGAAAACAUCUGAAUGUCGUCACAUGCUAGAUGUGUUCAAUACAUUGUAUUGAUUUGAGCAAACCAUUUCUUGUCGCUAUAUUUUGUUGUUUACAUUAUUUUCAUUUCUAAGCUGAUGUAAUGUAGCGAUAUAUGUUUGUUAUAUGCAGUAUCACAGUUCAUUUUUAUCAUGCUCAAUUUGUUAACACAGAAGCAUUUUUUAUUUGAACAUAAUUCCUCAGUCGUGCCAGCUAGGAGGGACCUCUCCAUUACCGUUUUAAAAUGUGAGGGAAGAUAGCAAGCUUUUUUAUGGCCAUUUUCUAAAGAAACCUCCACAUUUUACCGAAUAACAUAAUUGUUUAAUCUCCUUAUGUCUUAAGUUAUAUAUAUAUAUAUAUAUAUAUAUUGGUGUAUAUAUUGAUAUAUGUUUUGAACUUUUGUUAUAUUAUAAUAACGGUCAGUCAAUGACCAUUUAACCACAGCAUAUGUCUUGUUUGUUACGUCCACCCAGUGAAUAAAUGCAAACUAUACGAACUAUCGUAUCAGUGUUUUUUAUGCGUUGGGUGAUUGGAACGACAAUCAGAAAGACUUUAACCUAUCUACAGAAAAAUCGGAUCAGCACUUUUCUGCAGGAAAUAAAUUGUUUUGUUGUACCUAGUACAUUUUGUAGUACCUUUUGGAAGGCCAUUUUCUAAAGAAACCUCCACAUUUUACCGAAUAACAUAAUUGUUUAAUCUCCUUAUGUCUUUAGUUAUGUAUAUUGGUGUAUAUAUUGAUAUAUGUUUUGAACUUUUGUUAUAUAAUAAUAACGGCCAGUCAAUGACCAUUUAACCACA